UUUCCUAUUCUUUCCUUUUCCAAAGGAGAGUUAUUACUGCAAUUUCCCUGUUCUCUCUCUACCACUGUCUACUGAGUGCUGGUUAAAUUUACCAUUUAACCUCAGUGGACCACAGGGAACCAAUAAGAGCUCCAUGUAUGAGGACCACACGUCACCCAGAGAACCAGAACUGGAUAAAAUUGUGGCUUGUCUCUUUGAAAAAUUGUGGCUCGUCUCUUUGAGGGAAAGGGGUUGACUAUGUUUGGUGUGGAGGGUGGAACUUUUUUAAGAAGUUACUGGAAAGAGACCUGUCUUCCCCUGGAUGGCAUUGUGUGAAGACGUGGGACUUGCAGUCACUGUGGACAUUUCUGACCACAAAGACCCAUGAAACUGGAUGAUGAAGCCAAAUCUAAUACCACAGAAGGCAGAGCAAGGAGAGCGGGAGAGGCUGGCCUUGGUGACAUUGUUUGAAUCUAGUCUUCUCUGAAUCAGUCCCACCUUAGCCCUUCUCAAUCACGUCAUGCUAACUGUCAUGUCAUGAGGACACUCAGGCAGCCUAUGGAGAGGUCCGCAUGGUGAGGAAUUGAGACCUCUGGCCAACAGCUUUGUGAGUGCACCAUCUUGAAUCUCCAACCCCGAUCCAGCCUUCAGAUGAUUGUAGCCCAACCAACAUCAUGAUUGCAAUCUCAUGAGAGAUCACCCAUUGCAAACCUGCUCCUGGAUUCCUGACCCUCAGAUACUAUGAAAUAAUAAAUGUUUUUAGCUGUUAA